CGCGGUGGUCGGUUACUGGUUUCCACACAAGCCAAGCCCUUGAUCUGCCGUGUUUGAGGAAACCCUUUGUUCCUUUCAAGUCUCUAUUCUCUGAGCCAGGCUGGUGCACAGACCCAGGCAAGCUUGGAUGAGCCCAGAGAAUCCUUCUCAGCACAGCCUCUGGGUGUUUACUACCGACUGGACUUGCCGUACAAAACGAGACCUACCUCCCAUCCUCAGACAAGCCAACGCGAAGAAAUGGAGCUGAAAAUAGAAACUGUCAAAACAACAAGCCAUUCCAGCUCUAAGCGCCAUAGUAAACAAAUGGUCCAGUGUUGCUCUGAUGGUUUAAUUGCAGCAGUUCCAGACAAGCCCAUUCACGAAGGAUCUUCAGUUGACGGGAAGGAGGAGUGAGCCCCCCUCCGGGGAAGGGGCGGCUUGUGGCUAGCCCUUGGGGGAAGUCUUUACCAGGUGAGGCUGAUGCUCUGGGGAGCCGGCUGGAUUUCAGCAGCCAAAGCCCUAGCUGGCUGGAUCAGACUCUCUUUGCCUUCGGACAUCAAGAUGGUGGAUAUUUGAACUGGAAGGAUAAAGAAAGGCCUCUCUGAGGAGGUGGCAUUGGAGCUGGACCUGAAGAUGAAGAAGAUGACAGCUUCACAGACAGCCAGGGGAAGCGAGUCCCAGGCAGGGGGAACAGAAGAUUCAAAGGUCCUGAGUCAAUAGAAUCCAUAAUUUUCAGUUCGGCAUAUGGCAGCCUGGAAUGAGGAUUACGGUUCCCAGCUUCCCUUCCACAUCCUCAGUAUGGCCAUGGGGAAUUUGAGAUGUGAUGACUGGAUCUCAAGCAGCCAUCUUGGACCGUGUGGUGAAUUAAAGAUAGCUGCUGAUUCUUUGGCUGUCCUUCCUUCGAGAGGAAGAGGCUAUUUGGGAAUCUGAAUUUGGGCUGGCCUGUGACUUCUCGGGUCAACAGAGUAUAGCGGAAAUGAUACUCUGCCAAUUCAAGGCCCAGCCCUUAAGAGCACUGGUAGCUUCUGCCGUGGCCUCUUGGAUUCAUGAGCUGCCAUGGAAAAAUGUCAAACCACUCUGCUGGAGAGACCACCUGGAGAGGCCCUGAGACCACAUGGAAAGGGGGAGGAACCCAGCUAGCUCAGCAUUUCAGGUUUCCCCACCAAAGCCCCAGGAAUCCUGGUAAAACCAUCUUGACCCUCCAGACGAGCCCAACCAUCAACUGAAUACGACCAAGUGACUGGCUGAUGCCCAUGGAUCAGAAGGAUCACCCAGCUGAGCCCUGCCCAAAUUUCUGACCCACAAAACUGUAGAAAAUAAUGAAAUGGUGUUUUGGGGUAGUUUGUUAAGCAGCAAUAAAUAACCCGGACAGACCAUAAAGCAGAAGCUGUUUGCUGAGUAUGGUGCAACAGCUACACCAGCCCUGGUCUGGCCAGCUCCAGAUUUCGUAUUACCCAAGAAAAGGAAACCCUGUGUGUUUAAGCCUUGAUGAUGCCUCAGGCUACUGCUCACGGCCUCAGUUUCCCCAUAAUUGUUAAGUGGAGCAUUAGCUCCUGCCCUGUGACCUCCUAAAGGGCCUGAGAGGACAAAGGAAGAACCAGGAAGAGAAGGCAUUUUUCAUGUAAUAUAAACAUGCUUUAGACCAACGAGUGACACGCUCCGGCAGUCAGAGUAGAUUUGACGUAUUCGCGAUGGGUGUGAGCUUCUCCUGAGCCAAUUGCAAUGGAUUUUGGAGUCAGACGUAUCAGGGCUGGAGGCUCAGCUCUGCUACUUUCUAACGUGAUGAAUUGGGCCAGUCACGAAAUCUCUCCAAGCCUUAGUUUCCUCAUCAAUAAAACGCAGACGAUGCUAUUUCCCUUGUACAAUCUGUGUGAGGAUUAAGUUAAAUGAGAUUAAUCCAUCUCUUUGAUAAAUAGUGAGUAUCUUUGGUGUGCUAGGCUAGACCCACUCCUGAUACUGCUGGAGGCUGGGCCCCACUCACCCUCAAAAUCUAAGUAUGUAAACGUUAUAUAUCAAGGUGAUACACUGUUUUAAAAAUGCCCUAUCCUUCCCCUCCAUGAAUAUAACUUCAUAACGACCUGGAAGGCCGCGUUCAACUUGGAAAUCGGAUGCUCGUCAGACAUCUGCACUGAAACGCAGAGGGCAGGGGGGAGCUGGCCCCAUCCCCUGGCCCUCCAGCCUGCUCCCCUCCCUUCUCAUGCCAUCUCCGCCUCACACUGUGCAGACCUCACAUGCAGGUGUGUAGACACCCCAGGCUGCCGGUCCAUGCUCCCUUCCCCGCCCCAUGCUCCGCACUGCCCUUUGGCUAAACCCUGGGCCUAGUGUUCUGCCUCCAGAGAACAAACUGGAAAGAGGCCUGCACAGGGCCAGGGUCCAUUGGGACCUGGGGGCAGGGAUCUCAGGGAUCCUGGGAGACGGGAGUAUGUCUAGAAAGGGGGCACAGGCUUGGGUGGGUAUGUUACCUCGGCCCUGAAAUGUACAGCUGGAGGAGGGCCAGAGGGAGGCCCUUUAAAACACGAGGACCAGAGUAGGGCCCCCCUUGCCUGGGUUUGAGUGGGGCGUACAUCAGUGAAUGAAGCAGACGCCAUCCCUGACCCCUGAAACGCGGGGACCCAUUCCUUCCGUCUGAGCCUCAGUCUCACCCCUGUCUGUAAGAUGAGGGCUGAGCUGAUCUGACAUCUCCAAGUUUGUGCUGGGUACCAAGGUCUGGGGACUUGGUGAAUGUCGGCCUGAAUCUCCUAGAGGCCAGGAGAUCAGGUGGGAGGGGGCGUGUUUCAGACCUGAGUGAUCCACUUCCUCCUCCAACCCACGCCUGGCAGAGCAGGAAGGGCCUCCGCCAUCUAGUCCAACCUGUUCACCCACGCAACACCUUCUGUGGCCAUUACAGCACCAUGACUUCUCAUCACACCUGGAAUAAAAUCCCAGCUCCUUUCCAACGCCUGCCAAGCCCGUUCCACCGGCCUCUGGCCAUCUGCCAUCUCCUUUCCCACUGCCUGCUGUUGCUCACUCAGCUCCAGCCCCCUUGCCCUUCCUUAUGUUUAUGAAAAACAGAGUCUAUUCCUUUCACCUCACCCCAGGGCCCUUGCCCCUACUGUCCCUCUGCCUGGAGCUCUCAGCUCUUUGCAUGGCUGGAUCCUCUCCUCAUUCGGGCCUCAGCUUAGAGGGCCCCGUGACAUAGAGAUGCUCCCUGACACCCUUUUGAAAACAGCUGUCCUCUAGCCCCACUGCUCUCUUUACAAUGUCACCAUUUUACCUCCUUCCUAGCACAGCCGAAAGUGGUAGAAUGGAGUGACUGAGAGGCCAACUGUCUGGCUGGCCCCUUGGCCCAGUGUUUCGCCCAUUCGAAUCCUGGGUUUCAAGCUAUGCACAGCUCAUCAGGCCAUGCUGAGGCAGGUGGUGUCCCACACAGUAGAGCCAGAAGGACCUACAACUAGAAUAUACAACUAUGUACUGGGGGGCCUUGGGGAGAAGAAGAAAUAAAAGAAGAUUGGCAACAGAUGUUAGCUCAGGACCAAUCUGAAAGAAAAAAAUAAAGAGGCCAACUGUUUGAGUCCAAAUUUGGUCUCCACCAUCUACUGGACGCUUGAGUAAAUUGUUCAACCUGUAUUUCCCUGAAUAUAUUAUUCAACUUCUCAUUUUCCUUGAAUUGAUGAUUCAACCUCCAUUUUCCCUUUUGUGAAGGGGGUGAUAAUUUAUCUAUCUCGUAGGUUUGUUGUGAGAUUAGAGGAGCUAACACACAUAUUUAUAGCAUUUAGAACAGAGCCUGGCACAAGCAGUAUAUUUCUGCUUGCUAUUAUAUUAACACUUGUUGUUAUUUGAAAUUAUCUUGUCUAUUUCCUUACUGUUUAUUGUCUUCCUUCUCUCUCUCAAAUGCAAACUUCCCACAGCGGUCUCCUUGCCUGCCCUGCUCCCCGCUGCCUCCCACAGUGCUUGGAUAAACGAAUUCCAACAAGGACCUAGCACUGCGCUGAGCUCUUAUAUACAACACCUCCCUGUGCAGAUGGGGAAACUGAGGCAGGGGUGGAGUGGCCAGGAGCGAGGGCCUUCAGGGACCAGCCCCGCCCCGCGGCGCAGGGCGCUCUCCCAGGCGGGCUCAGAGACGCGAUCGGAGCGCCGCUCCCGCCGGUUUCCGCGGCGCCGGCGUUUUUGUCCCCAGCGCAUUCGUCUUUCAAGGCCCCACAGAAGCGGCGGUGGAAAAGCGGCCCGCAGUCCGCGUCAGCUGCGGUUCCGUCCUGUCGGUCCCCAAUGCGCGAACAAAGGCAUUUGCAUGAAAACAGGAACUCCGUCUGCUGGAAGGACCCGUUUGGGGGUGCAGCCAUGCGCUCCCGCGCCCCGCAGCUGUGCGCCGCUCCUCGGGCAGGGAAGGGAGCGGGGUGGGGGAUCGGCCGGUGGGGCGGGGGCGCUGCCCACCGAGCCUGCAGACCGCCCCCUCCCUGGCCGGCAGAAACGGCCGUCUGGGCCGCGCGCGCUUCUGCCGACUCCUCUGGACUGUUUACGGAAGCGCGGGAGCAGGGCGCAGCCACCCGGGCACCCCGGCCUCGGACACCCGCCGCGCGGCGCGGGAGGAGCCGGGCAGCGGCGGCUCCAGGCCCCGGGUCCCAGCCCGCUCCUCACCUGUCCGACCCGGGCGCAAGAAUGUCACAAGGCCAUCUCCAGGGGGAAGCAGCUUCCUUGAGGGGUGCGCGCCUGGCACGCAGAAAGGGCUCCGUUGCCCCUUUCCAACGCUUUUCUCAGCCAUCUCUCUUGAAAUCCCCCCCGC
ensembl:lncRNA